UACGGGGGGGGUAAGCGUUGUUCGGAUUUACUGGGCGUAAAGGGCGCGUAGGCGGCCAGUGCAAGUCAGUUGUGAAAUCUCCGAGCUUAACUCGGAAAGGUCAACUGAUACUGCUCGGCUAGAGUGCGGAAGGGGCAACUGGAAUUCUUGGUGUAGCGGUGAAAUGCGUAGAUAUCAAGAGGAACACCUGCGGCGAAGGCGGGUUGCUGGGCCGACACUGACGCUGAAGUGCGAAAGCUAGGGGAGCGAACGGG
rnacentral:rRNA from 1 species